UCUUUUCCUCGUGUGCCAGCCGCCGCGGUAAUACGGAAGGUCCGGGCGUUAUCCGGAUUUAUUGGGUUUAAAGGGAGCGUAGGCCGGAGAUUAAGCGUGUUGUGAAAUGUAGACGCUCAACGUCUGCACUGCAGCGCGAACUGGUUUCCUUGAGUACGCACAAAGUGGGCGGAAUUCGUGGUGUAGCGGUGAAAUGCUUAGAUAUCACGAAGAACUCCGAUUGCGAAGGCAGCUCACUGGAGCGCAACUGACGCUGAAGCUCGAAAGUGCGGGUAUCGAACAGG
rnacentral:rRNA from 1 species